rnacentral:piRNA from 1 species
UUCUGAUAGUAGCAUUACGUCGA